UACGGAGGGUGCAAGCGUUGCUCGGAAUUAUUGGGCGUAAAGGGUAGGUAGGUGGUCUCAUUUGUCUGUGGUGAAAGCCUUGGGCUUAACUCAAGAAGUGCCUCAGAAACGGUGAGACUAGAGUUCUGGAGAGGGUCGUGGAAUUCCCGGUGUAGCGGUGAAAUGCGUAGAGAUCGGGAGGAACACCAGAGGCGAAGGCGGCGACCUGGACAGAUACUGACACUCAACUACGAAAGCGUGGGGAGCAAACAGG
rnacentral:rRNA from 1 species